GACGAACGCUGGCGGCGUGCCUAAUACAUGCCAGUCGAGCGGACGGAUGGGAGCUUGCUCCCAGACCGUCAGCGGCGGACGGGUGAGUAACACGUGGGCAACCUGCCUGUAAGACUGGGAUAACUCCGGGAAACCGGGGCUAAUACCGGAUAACUCUUUCCCUCACAUGAGGGGAAGCUGAAAGAUGGCAUCUCGCUAUCACUUACAGAUGGGCCCGCGGCGCAUUAGCUAGUUGGUGAGGUAACGGCUCACCAAGGCGACGAUGCGUAGCCGACCUGAGAGGGUGAUCGGCCACACUGGGACUGAGACACGGCCCAGACUCCUACGGGAGGCAGCAGUAGGGAAUCUUCCGCAAUGGACGAAAGUCUGACGGAGCAACGCCGCGUGAGUGAUGAAGGUUUUCGGAUCGUAAAACUCUGUUGUCAGGGAAGAACAAGUACCGGAGUAACUGCCGGUACCUUGACGGUACCUGACCAGAAAGCCACGGCUAACUACGUG
rnacentral:rRNA from 1 species